GCCCGGGUAGCUCAGUCGGCAGAGCAGCUCACUCGUAAUGAGCAGGUCAAGGGUUCGAUUCCCUUCUCGGGCUCCA
rnacentral:tRNA from 1 species